UACACUCCACACUCCACCUGGUAUUCAAAACCGUGUCCUGACCCCAGACCUAGUACCUGGCCUAGCUGGCUGGCAGGGCAGGCUCAGCGGUGCCCAGGCCUCCCCCUGCUGGGUGCUGAAGAUGAAAGCCACCACUGAUAACAUCAGCGGGAGCCCAGCUCUGCUUAAUCAACACACUUUCACAUCUGUAAUCUUACAGGGAGGUAACAUUACUUACUGUGUUGCUGUAGAGGCAGCAAAACUACUGGAAACUCACAUCCUCCACCUGCCAGCCCCCAUCCCACCCUCUGCAUUGAGGACAGAAGAAAACAGACCCGUAAGAAGAAUUACUUUUCAUCUCUGCAAAGCCUUGAGAGCUGUGGUAGGCACUGGUUCCAAGGAAGGUCAGUACAUGUAGUUCAGGCUUCCCUGGUGGCGCAGUGGUUAAGAAUCCCCCUGCCAAUGACAGGGGACACGGGUUCGAGCCCUGGUCCCGGAAGAUCCCACAUGCCGCGGAGCAGCUGGGCCCGUGAGCCGCAAUUACUGAGCCUGCGCGUCUGGAGCCUGUGCUCUGCAACAAGAGAGGCCGCGAUGGUGAGAGGCCCGCGAACGGCGAUGAAGAGUGGCCCCCACUUGCCACAACUGGAGAAAGCCCUCGCACAGAAACGAAGAUCCAACACAGCCAUAAAUAAAUAAAUAAAUAAAAUUUAAAAGAGAUAAGCAAAACAUAAAAAAAAAAAAUACAUGUAGUUCUAUGCAUUCUCUUUAAUGGCUGCAUAAUGUUCCACAGUGAGGUUCCAUUGUGUAAAUACAUUCUAAUUUGUUCAACUACUCCCCUUUUGAUGGAUUUGACUUUAAAUACAAUGUUAAUUAUAUAUUAAGGACUCCUGUAAGUUUGUAUCUGUUUCCACACUCUCUACGUUGUUCCAUUGA